rnacentral:rRNA from 1 species
AGCCUGCGCCGAAAAUUAUCGGGGCUAAACCGUGUACCGAAGCUGUGGAUGCGUGUGUAUUUACUGGUGGAACUGAUCGUAUAUUAGAAGCGAGAUAAUUUAGCAGGAAAGCUACCUUAAUGAAUAGGAUAGCAGAAAAGAAGCUUUCCGAGAAAUUUUCUCAAAGGCUGAAACGUGUACGGAUCAGAUUCAGCAGUAAAUACACACGCGUGGUAGGGGAGCUUACUGCAACAGGCUGAAGGUCGACCGAGAGGACGGCUGGACGAAGCAGUAGUGAGAAUGCCGGAAUAAGUAGCGAGAGUAAAGUGAGAAUCUUUACCGUCGAAAGCCUAAGGUUUCCUGGGGAAGGUUCGUCCACCCAGGGUAAGUCGGGACCUAAGCCGAGGCCGAAAGGCGUAGGUGAUGGACAACAGGUUGAUAUUCCUGUACUACCGUUACUCGCUUGAGAGAAGUGGGGACGCAGGGGGAAUAGUUAAGCGAGCGACUGGAAGAGCUCGUCCAAGGGAGAUAGAUAGUCCGGCAGGCAAAUCCGCCGGAUGUUUCGAAGGCCCGAUGGGGAGGGAAAUUAGAGUACCGAAGUAACGAUUUCCGCACUGACGAGAAAAGCCACUAUCGAGAGUAAAGGUACCCGUACCGCAAACCGACACAGGUAGGUGAGGAGAGAAUCCUAAGACGAGCGGGAGAAGCGUUGUUAAGGAACUCGGCAAAUUGACCCCGUAAGUUCGCGAGAAGGGGUGCCUCGAGAGAGGCCGCAGUGAAACGGCCCAAGCAACUGUUUAGCAAAAACACAGGUCUCUGCUAAAUCGAAAGAUGACGUAUAGGGGCUGACGCCUGCCCGGUGCUGGAAGGUUACGGGGAUCUGUUAGCGCAAGCGAAGCAGUGAACUUAAGCCCCAGUAAACGGCGGCCGUAACUAUAACGGUCCUAAGGUAGCGAAAUUCCUUGUCGGGUAAGUUCCGACCCGCACGAAUGGCGUAAUGACUUGGGCACUGUCUCAACAACGCACCCGGUGAAAUUGUAGUACUCGUGAAGAUGCGAGUUACCCGCGACAAGACGGAAAGACCCCAUGGAGCUUUACUGCAGCCUGAUACUGGGUUUCGGUAUUUUUUGUACAGGAUAGGUGGGAGACUGAGAAGCGUGGGCGCCAGCUUACGUGGAGUCGUCGUUGGGAUACCACUCUAAAAGUACUGAGGCUCUAACCAGAGUCUGUGAACCAGGCUUGGGACACUGUCAGGUGGGCAGUUUGACUGGGGCGGUCGCCUCCCAAAAGGUAACGGAGGCGUCCAAAGGUUACCUCAGCGCGGUUGGAAAUCGCGCAUCGAGUGCAAAGGCAUAAGGUAGCCUGACUGUGAGAGGUACAUCUCGAGCAGGUACGAAAGUAGGGCUUAGUGAUCCGGUGGUAUGAAAGUGGAAUUGCCAUCGCUCAACGGAUAAAAGCUACCCUGGGGAUAACAGGCUGAUCUCCCCCAAGAGUCCACAUCGACGGGGAGGUUUGGCACCUCGAUGUCGGCUCAUCGCAUCCUGGAGCUGAAGUAGGUUCCAAGGGUUUGGCUGUUCGCCAAUUAAAGCGGUACGCGAGCUGGGUUCAGAACGUCGUGAGACAGUUCGGUCCCUAUCUGUCGCGGGCGUAGGAUAUUUGAGGGGAUCUGUCCCUAGUACGAGAGGACCGGGAUGGACCGACCUCUGGUGCACCAGUUGUCAUGCCAAUGGCACGGCUGGAUAGCCAAGUCGGGAAUAGAUAAACGCUGAAAGCAUCUAAGCGUGAAACUAACCCCAAGAUGAGAUAUCCCACCAGCAAUGGGUAAGACCCCAUGGAGAAGACGUGGUUGAUAGGUCAGGGGUGUAAGUGCAGCAAUGCAUUGAGCUAACUGAUACUAAUAGGUCGAGGGCUUGACCA